GAUGAACGCUGGCGGCGUGCCUAAUACAUGCAAGUCGAGCGAGCGGACGAGAAGCUUGCUUCUCUGAUGUUAGCGGCGGACGGGUGAGUAACACGUGGAUAACCUACCUAUAAGACUGGGAUAACUUCGGGAAACCGGAGCUAAUACCGGAUAAUAUUUUGAACCGCAUGGUUCAAAAGUGAAAGACGGUCUUGCUGUCACUUAUAGAUGGAUCCGCGCUGCAUUAGCUAGUUGGUAAGGUAACGGCUUACCAAGGCAACGAUGCAUAGCCGACCUGAGAGGGUGAUCGGCCACACUGGAACUGAGACACGGUCCAGACUCCUACGGGAGGCAGCAGUAGGGAAUCUUCCGCAAUGGGCGAAAGCCUGACGGAGCAACGCCGCGUGAGUGAUGAAGGUCUUCGGAUCGUAAAACUCUGUUACUAGGGAAGAACAUAUGUGUAAGUAACUGUGCACAUCUUGACGGUACCUAAUCAGAAAGCCACGGCUAACUACGUG
rnacentral:rRNA from 1 species